CUCCUGGAGUGUCUCUUUGUGAUUCCAGCCUCAGAAAGGACCCUCCCAGGAGCAGAAGGAAGCGGCAGGGUGCCAUGGAGGAGCAGAGCGCGGGCCUGGCUAAGCGGCUGGCGCACAUGCUCUCGCGGCCUGCUGGAAUGCAUGUGCUUUGCCGGCGUCAUCUUCAGCUGGGCCUCAUUGGUGUACGUGCUCAAGGACAUGCACUACUUCGAGGAGCGUGUGUGUGCCAGUGGCUAACGGACGGGCAAUGCACGCGGGGCCCAGACUGCCGGGUACAGGAUGAGCAGCUGUCACUCUCUUCACCAUCGGUCCUUCAUGAACAACUUCAUGACCUUCCCCACCGGCUACAUCUUUGACCGCUUUGGCACCAUGCCGGCCCGCUUGCUGGCCAUAUCCCUCUACACUGGCGGAUGCUGCUUAUUGUCUUCUCCACAGCAGGUGAGGCCUCUGCCUGUGGGAGCGAUGGGACAGGACACCUCCUGAUGGGGCCUGGGCUGGGUUAAGGCACAAAGCGGCAGGGCUCUGCCCCUCAUGGCCCACUGGGGAGACCCAGCCCUUCUGUGCAGAAGCACCCCCACUGGGCGGGAACUCUGCCUCUUGCUUGUGACUUGGGUGCAGCUCUGCUCCUGCUGGGCAGAGAGAGCCCGUCCUGAUCCACCACGGCUUGGAGACCCUCCGGCGAGUGUGGCUGG